rnacentral:rRNA from 1 species
AGUGAACGCUGGCGGUAGGCCUAACACAUGCAAGUCGAACGGCAGCACAGUAAGCGCUUGCUCUUACGGGUGGCGAGUGGCGGACGGGUGAGGAAUACAUCGGAAUCUACUUUUUCGUGGGGGAUAACGUAGGGAAACUUACGCUAAUACCGCAUACGACCUACGGGUGAAAGCAGGAGAUCUUCGGACCUUGCGCGACUGAAUGAGCCGAUGUCGGAUUAGCUAGUUGGCGGGGUAAAGGCCCACCAAGGCGACGAUCCGUAGCUGGUCUGAGAGGAUGAUCAGCCACACUGGAACUGAGACACGGUCCAGACUCCUACGGGAGGCAGCAGUGGGGAAUAUUGGACAAUGGGCGCAAGCCUGAUCCAGCCAUACCGCGUGGGUGAAGAAGGCCUUCGGGUUGUAAAGCCCUUUUGUUGGGAAAGAAAAGCAGCAGGUUAAUACCCCGCUGUUCUGACGGUACCCAAAGAAUAAGCACCGGCUAACUUCGUG